UUAAGUAAACAAAAUGAAGUGGGUCACAAGUAAGCGGUUCCAUGAGUCUAUGGCUUGAUGUGCAACAGAGAUGAGAGAGGCAUUACUAAAAAAUCGGGAUGCUCUGAAAGAAAUGGGCAAAGGGACUCUUCUGUAUUGUGGAGCUUUUGACAGUGUGCCAAAGUUGGAAAGUGAGUCACUUCUGCUGCUGCCAAAACUAUUCUAGAAGCCUGUGAAACUGGAGUCCAUGUUCCAGGCACUCCACUACCUUUGAUGCAGUUGAUUGGGAACCUCAAACAGAGACCCAGAUGUGGUAUAUAGAGAUGAUUUGACCGACUUUAUGGCGGAGGACUGGAAUUUUGCCUUAAAUGGUACUCUGCAGAGAUAAGAAUCUUGAGUUUGGCAACAUACAUUGAUAAAAAUAAGUGUAAAAUUGAUACUUCGUUUCUGAACAAACCCCGGCAACCAGCAUUUUUGAGAAGACGGUCUGCUUGCUGCAUCAUGUGAACUGCCUGCCAUCAGUGACAAUUUAGGCUCAUCAAGGUUGAGAAUAUGAGGACGACUCAUCGUCUGUGAAGAGGAGGUUUCAUUCCCAAGGAUUGAGUGGGAAUUCGGUUUGGAUGUAAGUUAGAGAAUAGCAAGCUAAUGUCCCUUUCUUUGACUCAGCUACCUUUUCUUUUCAUAAGGUGCUGGAAGGUCCUUAGCUCCCUGGGCUGCAGGAGGAGGGGUGCGUUUUUCAGUGAGAGACAAAGAUAUUUAUUUGAUUCUCACUUGUCAAUGAACAAAGGCAAUAGAGAUUAUUACCUAAGCUAGCAUGUCAGAGUGCUUAAAGGAUGGAUGGACUUGGGAGCAGAAUUCCUGGGUUUAAAAUCUUGGCUCCACUAUUUACCAGCUAUGCGGUCUUAAAGUUACUUCACUUCUCUUUGUCUUAAUUUUACCAGCUUCAAAAUGGGGACAGUAGUAUCUCAAACCACUUACUGUAAGGAAAGUGCUUAAAACAGUGCCUGACUAUAUUAAAUAUGUGUUGUAUAAAUGGCAAAUAUUCAACAUUAGCACCAAUCAAUUAUUAAUAUUAACCAUUGCCAUUGAAAUAAGAAGAAAAGAGAGAUUUAUUUACCUUCUAAGGUAAUAU